rfam:Ipomoea nil DNA, scaffold: scaffold2957, cultivar: Tokyo-kokei standard.
GCACUAGUGGUUUAGUGGUAGAAUAGUACCCUGCUAUGGUAUAGACCCAAGUUCGAUUCUCGACUGGUGCA